AAUCUUGCGCAAUGGACGAAAGGCUCACGGAGCGAUGCCGCGCGAGUGAUGAAGGUCNNNGGAUCNUCAAACUCUGUUGUUAGNGAANAACAAGUAGCGGAGUAAUAUGCCGGUACCUUGACGGUACCUAACCAGAAAGCCCCGGCUAACUACGUGCCAGCAGCCGCGGUAAUACGUAGGGGGCAAGCGUUGUCCGGAAUUAUUGGGCGUAAAGCGCGCGCAGGCGGUCUUUUAAGUCUGAUGUGAAAUCUUACCGCUUAACUGUAAGCGGUCAUUGGAAACUGGGAGACUUGAGUGCAGAAGAGGAGAGUGGAAUUCCAUGUGUAGCGGUGAAAUGCGUAGAGAUAUGGAGGAACACCAGUGGCGAAGGCGACUCUCUGGUCUGCAACUGACGCUGAGGCGCGAAAGCGUGGGGAUCAAACA
rnacentral:rRNA from 1 species